rnacentral:rRNA from 1 species
GUGGCGGACGGGUGAGUAACACGUAGGUAACCUGCCCCGGAGCGGGGGAUAACAUUUGGAAACAGAUGCUAAUACCGCAUAACAACGAAAGCCACAUGGCUUUUGUUUGAAAGAUGGCUUUGGCUAUCACUCUGGGAUGGACCUGCGGUGCAUUAGCUAGUUGGUAAGGUAACGGCUUACCAAGGCGAUGAUGCAUAGCCGAGUUGAGAGACUGAUCGGCCACAAUGGAACUGAGACACGGUCCAUACUCCUACGGGAGGCAGCAGUAGGGAAUCUUCCACAAUGGGCGCAAGCCUGAUGGAGCAACACCGCGUGAGUGAAGAAGGGUUUCGGCUCGUAAAGCUCUGUUGUUGGAGAAGAACGUGCGUGAGAGUAACUGUUCACGCAGUGACGGUAUCCAACCAGAAAGUCACGGCUAACUACCUGCCAGCAGCCGCGGUAAUACGUAGGUGGCAAGCGUUAUCCGGAUUUAUUGGGCGUAAAGCGAGCGCAGGCGGUUGCUUAGGUCUGAUGUGAAAGCCUUCGGCUUAACCGAAGAAGUGCAUCGGAAACCGGGCGACUUGAGUGCAGAAGAGGACAGUGGAACUCCAUGUGUAGCGGUGGAAUGCGUAGAUAUAUGGAAGAACACCAGUGGCGAAGGCGGCUGUCUGGUCUGCAACUGACGCUGAGGCUCGAAAGCAUGGGUAGCGAACAGGAUUAGAUACCCUGGUAGUCCAUGCCGUANACGAUGAGUGCUAGGUGUUGGAGGGUUUCCGCCCU